GUUUACUAACCCAUUUUACCAUUUUGCUGGUUAAAUACAUUUGCAUCGAGAGAGUUGGCUUAGAAAUUCCGAGCAGGUAGUUGAGACCUCCUGCAAGUGCCAGCAAUCAUAUCUCCAUAUUAACUCGGCAUCAAAGCCCGGUAAAUCGUACAAUAGUUUGCAGGCCUCUGGGAUUAAUUUCGGUUUAAUCAGAUUCGGAACAGACUGCCAAGUCUGCGGAACAGCAAUUCGUGUGCCAGUGAUAUUCGAGCAUAAUUGUUUUCCUCUGCCGAGAAACACUCGUGAGUGGAGGAGGAGGCUGUGUGUGUAUGUGCUCCCCUUUGUUUAUCCAGGCCCAGCUCACAUAAUGGAAUCCCGGGAAAAUGAAUUCGGAUUUGCACGCAGCUUUAAGACACGACGAUAAGGAUGCCAGCCCACGUACGUGAUGGCUGGGUAGCGAGUGCCAAAUGGCAGAUUAUGUCGCCAGACAUUAAAUCACCUGCACAGACUUCCACGGAACUCAGACGUGCUCCAGUUGCUGGGGGCCAUGGAGGCACAAAGGAUAUAUUCGUAGCAGUCGUAGCUGGCACUGGUAAACACUCCCCAACAAAAUGGAGCUGUUGUCCUAAUCCCGGCUUACAGGGAAAGAGAAUACACCUGCGAAUCGGAGAAAGUAUUUAUUUCCAGGGAAAUUUAUAACCGGAAUUAUGUGCUCAGGCAAUGUAAACCAAACUUUGCACACGCCCACACGAAAUCCGAAUUGCCAAAACAUUAACUUUAGAGUUCCCAGUUCGAAAAUUGCUAUACUUUAGAGUUCCCAUACAGUGUCCUUUUGGGUGACAUUCAAAAUAUAAAACUUAUCUUGUACCGAAUUAAGCGGGGAUUAUGCUAA